rnacentral:rRNA from 1 species
UACGUAGGGUGCAAGCGUUGUCCGGAAUUAUUGGGCGUAAAGAGCUCGUAGGCGGUUUGUCGCGUCUGCUGUGAAAUCUGGGGGCUCAACCCCCAGCCUGCAGUGGGUACGGGCAGACUAGAGUGCGGUAGGGGAGAUUGGAAUUCCUGGUGUAGCGGUGGAAUGCGCAGAUAUCAGGAGGAACACCGAUGGCGAAGGCAGAUCUCUGGGCCGUAACUGACGCUGGAGGAGCGAAAGCAUGGGGAGCGAACAGG